ensembl:lncRNA
GGUUGGGGAAUACAUUUCUUUUUAUAUUUAUUCUUUAGACUUUAAGGAAACAGCCGUUUUUUACAACACAAUUUGCAUAAUAAUAUCUCAACACAUCCUGUUUACAACCACAAAACCAGAACUCCAGAUUCUCCAUUUUUACACUGAGUGAAAAACAAUACAAUUUUACAAGCAUAAUCUUUAUACAGUCGGCAUACAACUUCCGAUAAAUCUAUACAUAUUCUCUCUUUGUCUCUUUUUAAACAUAAUCUGGAAGCAGAAAUAUCGACAGGCCACCAACAGAACAUGCAACAUCCAGUGUGAUAACAGGAAGUCGUAGACAACUGGAGAAGUAAAGUACAUUUGUCCCCUCUGGUUGGCUCAGUGACAUCUGUGACAUGGUUGUACAGUCAGACACCCACGGGUGGACAACUACAGUCUCAUCACAUCAUCAAAUCCUCACACAAACCAAAAGAGACACAGACAGACAGAUUAUCGUUUUUUGUAUUCUUUUUUUUUUUUUUUUUUUACACUUACAUGCUCAAACCUCAGACAAUAAAACAGUCUUUGUAGAAAAUAAAAAACACUUUGUAUUUACAGUUUAGAUGAGUAUACAACAGUCACACACUCCUCACAGAUGAACACGACUGAUUUCACGGUAACUAGCAAAUGACUGAGGAACAAUGGGCGUUGACUCUUUCGCUAAGUGAAGUCUAAGGAGGGGUUGAAUUUGAAUUCUCCUCACAUUCCUCAAUAUGGUUUCAUAGCAUACAUACAGGACGUGUUGGUGGCUAGAUGUUAGCUCCUCAAAUUUGUCCAUUAUGAAACAAGAUGGAAAUUGUCUGUCAUUUAAUGUGUUUUUUUGCCAUGUAAAUCAAAACAACUGUUGUCUGAACUCCUUCAUACAGCACAGACAUAAUAUCAUCUCAACACAGAGACACAAACUGGAACAGACACUUGCAUGUCAUGACAAAGGUACACAGGACGAGGAAAUCAAUCAGCCAUGUAAUACUAAAGUGCACAAGCUUCAUGAAAAUAAUAACAGCUGUUAGUUAAAUCCUUAAAAAAAUCCUAUUUUCCUCUAAUAAUAU